rnacentral:rRNA from 1 species
CUUUGAAGAGAGAGUUCAAGAGUACGUGAAACCGUUCAGGGGUAAACCUGAGAAACCCAAAAGAUCGAAUGGGGAGAUUCAUCGUCAGCGCGGCUGGCUUCCGUGCGGUUCGCGAUGGCCGGGACCUCGGUCUCGCGUCACGCGUCCGCUGCGGCAUGUCCGGCUGCGUCGGCGUGCACUUCUCCCCUAGUAGGACGUGCGACCCGUUGGGUGUCGGACCGAUGGCCGUUUGGUCGCCUGUCUCGUCGCGUUCACGCGUGCACGUGGCAGACCGAAAUGGUCGACGUCCGGCUGCCCGGCGGUAUAGAACGCUUAUGAACGGUAAUGAGCCGCAUUAAGUGCGUUCAGGCUCGUCGGCAGGCUCGUCUCGCCCGGAUUUACGGACCUAGCGCCGUUGCCGGGUGCUUGGCGUGGCCGUUAGUCGACGAUGUCCUCGGACUGGCUCUAAAAUUCGAAAGAAUUACCGGUCGGCGACGCUACUGCUUUGGGUACUUUCAGGACCCGUCUUG